rnacentral:lncRNA from 1 species
GGCGGAGGUUGCAGUGAGCCGAGAUCUCACCACUGCACUCCAGCCUGGGUGACAGAGCAAGACGCCCAUCUCAAAAAAAAAAAAAAAAAAGAAUGACUUUAAUGGAUUGAAACAUGUCAUAUAUGUCCAAAUCUAUGAGUUGACAAUACUUAAAAAAAAAAAAAAAAAGAAAAAUUCAUUUAUCACCAUGGGAGGAUAUUGGAAAACCCAACUCAUUUUGAAAACUGUCAAAGAAAGGGAAAGAAGCAUUUAUCCUUUUUGGUACAAACCAUACUUUUUGGUAGCCAAAUAGUUGAUAAAUUGAUACCUUUUAUAGACAUAUGUCCACUACCAAAGACAGAAUCAUAGAAUUAGUAUGCCACCAUGUUGUAAUAUCUAAUGAAAUAAUGGGCCAGGUGUAGUGGCUCAUCCCUGUAAUCCCAACACUUUCGGAGGCCGAGAUGGGAAGAUUGUUUGAGGCCAGAAGUUCAAGACCACCCUGGGCAACACAGACCUGUCUAUGCAACAAGAUCCUGUCUCUACAAAAAAAAAAGAAAAAAAAAAAAUUAGCCAGGUUUGGGCAUGUGCCUGUAGUCCCAGCUGUUUGGAAGGCUCAGGUGGGAGGAUCCCUUGAGCCCAGGAGGUCAAGGCUGCAGUCAGCUAUGAUUGCACCACUGCACUCUAACCUAUGUGACAGAGCAAGACCCCUCAAAAAAAAAAAAAAAAAAGAAGAAGAAAUUGUGGAUCUAGACAAUGAUCAUCAACAACAGCUGCUAACAUUGCAAAGAGGAACAACCAGAUAGUGUGUGCCUUUGAAUGGAAGUACAAAACCACCAAUAGGAAGUACUCAUACAAAAAAAAAAAAAUCAAACAUCAAUCUAAGUUAUCUCCUAGGCCUAACUACCAAUUUCUAAGAAAUAUAGCGGGAAGAGGAGCACAUGACACUUCUAUGGAGAUGCUAUAACCAAAAUUCAGACCACAGGAAACUACAGAACAAACAAGCCAGUUUCUUCAACAAAUAAAUUGCAAAGGAAGAAAAAGACAAGGGAAGAGAACCUACAGGUUAGGAGAGAUACAAAAGCAAUCCCAACCGAUGGCAACAUUCGAACUUUAUUUGGAUCCUGAUUUUAACUAGCUAAAGAAACCCUUUAGCUGGGCGCGGUGGCUCACACCUGUAAUCCCAGCACUUUGGGAGGCCAAGCCGGGUGGAUCACAAGGUCAUGAGUUCGAGACCAUC